rnacentral:rRNA from 1 species
AAGCAAGUAAGAUCCCUCAAAGACGAUGAGGUAGAUAGGUUCGAGGUGGAAGCGUGGCGACACGUGCAGCUGACGAAUACUAAUCGAUCGAGGACUUAACCAAUU